CGGUAUCCUGUGUCACUGGACUAAUGUCUUCAGUGCUGUCCUGGAGCUUCAGUCUGACUACCAUGAUGCUCUUGGCUCUGAGUGGCGUCAGUCCUGUUGUGUCUAGAAGUCACAGUCUCCCCUUCCUCCCAUGCUCAAAAGUGAGGGUCCCCAACACCCCCAGACCCCCAUCCCCAGGCCCCAGCCAGACUCCACCCCCUCCGCUGCGGCCCACCCUUUCACACUCCCCCCUGAAAUAGGACAUCGUUGCAUUUCGGUUAAAAAGUGCAGAUACCCCCCGCGGGGCGGGAGGUGGGAGAGGGACAGCGGGGGGCCACAGGGGCAAGGGAACGGGGCGAGACCCCGAGAGUCCCGCUUCAGCGUCCCUGCCCCCCAGGUUCGUCCCCGGACAGGCCCGGGAGGGAGGCGGGCGCCGGCGUCCAACGAGGAAUUCUGGCUUUUUGCUUCUCGUUUUAAAAAAAAAGUUUGGAAGAGCUCUUGGAUUGAUGUCUUCAGUUCUUCUGUACAAGGAAAGAGGGAACCACAGAGCAGCCCAUCCCUCCUCCUCCUCUCUCUGCUCCGGUCAGCGUCCUGGGGCUGUGUCCUGGGGCUGUGUCCUGGGGCUGUGUCCUGGGGCUGUGUCCUGGGCCGGCGUCCAGGGCCGGCGUCCUGGGGCUGUGUCCUGGGCCAGCGUCCUGGGCCAGCGUCCUGGGGCUGCGUCCUGGGGCUGCGUCCUGGGCCAGCGUCCUGGGCCAGCGUCCAGGGCCAGCGUCCUGGGGCUGUGUCAUGGGCCAGCGUCCUGGGCCAGCGUCCUGGGUCAGCGUCCAGGGGCUGUGUCAUGGGGCUGUGUCAUGGGGCUGUGUCAUGGGCCAGCGUCCUGGGGCUGUGUCAUGGGUCGGCGUCCUGGGUCGGCGUCCUGGGCCGGCGUCCUGGGGCUACAUCCUGGGUCAGUGUCCUGGGUCAGUCUCCUGGGGCUUUGUCAUGGGCCAGCGUCCUGGGGCUAUGUCCUGGGUCAGCGUCCUGGGUCAGUCUCCUGGGGCUGUGUCCUGGGUCAGCGUCCUGGGUCAGCGUCCUGGGGCUGUGUCCUGGGGCUGUGUCCUGGGGCUGUGUCCUGGGUCAGCGUCCUGGGGCUGUGUCCUGGGUCAGCGUCCUGGGGCUGUGUCCUGGGUCAGCGUCCUGGGGCUGUGUCCUGGGUCAGUGUCCUGGGUCAGUGUCCUGGGGCUAAGUCCUGGGUCAGUGUCCUGGGUCAGUCUCCUGGGGCUGUGUCCUGGGGCUGUGUGACAGUGUGCACACAGACAGAGGUUUCGGUCCGGUCUGGUCCAGUUUGGUUGGGUUUGGGAAAGAGAGGGAGAAAUGGCGUGGACACUGACAGAGCAGCAGACUGACACCAGGAUGUCCCCCUUCCAAGAGAGAGGAGCAGGAGAGAGAGGAGAGAGACACACAGGGAGUAGAGAGGAGAGAGACAGACAGGCAGGAGAGAGAGGAGAGAGAAACACAGGGAGGAGAGAGAGGAGACAGACACACAGGGAGGAGAGAGAGGAGACAGACACACAGGGAGGAGAGAGAGGAGAGAGACAGACAGGCAGGAGAGAGAGGAGAGAGACACACAGGGAGGAGAGAGAGGAGACAGACACAAAGGGAGGAGAGAGAGGAGAGAGACAGACGGCGCAGGAGGAGAAGAGAGAGACAGACAGGGCAGGAGAGAAAGGAGAUAGACACACAGGGCAGGAGAGAGGAGAGAGACACACAGGGGGGAGAGAGAGAGUAGAGAGACAGACAGCACGGGAGAGAGAAGAGAGAGACAGACAGCACAAGAGAGAGAAGAGAGAGACAGACAGGGGAGGAGAGAGAGGAGAGAGACACACAGGGCAGGAGAGAGAGGAGAGAGACACAGGGCAGGAGAGAGAGGAGAGAGACAGACAGGGGUCAGAGUGACAGACAGGGCGGGGGACAGGAGAGACAGGUCGAGACAGACAGAUUGGCAGAGCAGCAGGCAGAGAAAGCAGAGAGACAGUGGGACAGAGAGAGAGGAGAGAGACAGUGGGACGGAGAUAGAGUCUCGUCAAUGGCUACUUGUACCCGUGUCUCGCAGCCUGGCAGCGAGUCAGUCUUGUGCAUAAGGAGUGGAGGGGCUGGGGGAGGACCGCUGGGGCAGCCGGCUCAGGCCUUGAGCUGGUGCCACUGGGCCACAGCCUGCCGCGGGCGAGCGAUCAUGUCCUUCCAGUGCUUGACCUCAGCCGGGCCACUCUUCCAGGACAGGUAGAUCUGCAGGGAGAGAGCGGGAGGCAGCAGGACAGGCCGGGUCAGUCGGGCAGUCUGUCAGUCAGUGUGUCAGUGUGUCAGUGUGUCAGUGUGUCAGUCGUCACCGUGUCAGUCAGUGUGUCAGUCAGUGUGUCAGUUGGUCAGUGUGUCAGUUGGUAAGUGUGUCAGUCGUCAGCGUGUCAGUCAGUGUGUCAGUAUGUCAGCCGGCCCGUGUGUCAGUCAUCACCGUGUCAGUCAGUGUGUCAGGCGGUCAGUGUGUCAGUCAGUGUGUCAGUCGGUCAGUGUGUCAGUCGGUAAGUGUGUCAGUCGUCAGCGUGUCAGUCAGUGUGUCAGUGUGUCAGUCGGCCAGUGUGUCAGUCAGUGUGUCAGUCAGUGUGUCAGUCAGUGUGUCAGUAUGUCAGCCGGCCAGUGUGUCAGUCAUCACCGUGUCAGUCAGUGUGUCAGGCGGUCAGCAUGUCGGUCGGUCAGCCUGUCGGUCAGUGAGUGUGUCAGGCGGUCAGCGUCAGUCGGUCAGCGGGUCACCUUGCCGAUGACGUCGUUGCGGCUGAGGCGGUCCUUGUCCAUGACGGUGAUGAUGAUGGUGGUCUCCCGCAGGCGCUCGGUCGGCACGUCGAAGGGGAAGGACUCGUUGAAGAUGGGAUUGAGACAGCGCUUCAUCACCACUGUCUUCUUCUUCUCCACGCGCUUGUCCUUGUGCAUCAGCCACACCUUCACAUAGGGGUCUGAGAGAGAGGAGAGAGAAAGAGGAGAAAGGAGAGAGGAGAGGAGAGAGGGGAGAGG
ensembl:lincRNA